rnacentral:tmRNA from 1 species
GGGGACGACUGGCUUCGACGUGGGCGUCCGUGGGGGCAGUUGCGAGCCGAGGUUCCCGGUCGGCCUCGUAAAACAACCGGGACAAAAAGCAAGUGCGGACCGUAACCACGAGUUCGCCCUCGCCGCUUAGUUAGACGGUGAGGUGUCGACCCGGCGCUCGGCCCGUGGCGCCGGGACCGGCAUCAGCUAACGGGCUCGCCCGCCCCGGGCGCCUCCGGCGGGGCGGGGACACGAAACGGGGGCUGGUCCCGCGCAAGCCGGCCGGCGCGGCGAGCGCGGGGCGAGAGCGAAGCGCCGGCUACGCUCGUAGACGCUGCCCUGUCACGCGUCCGCGGACCCGGGUUCGACUCCCGGCGUCUCCACUU